CCUACGGGUGGCAGCAGUGAGGAAUAUUGGUCAAUGGACGAAAGUCUGAACCAGCCAAGUAGCGUGAAGGAUGACUGCCCUAUGGGUUGUAAACUUCUUUUAUAAGGGAAUAACACGCGGCACGUGUGCCUUUUUGCAUGUACUUUAUGAAUAAGGACCGGCUAACUCCGUGCCAGCAGCCGCGGUAAUACGGAGGAUGCGAGCGUUAUCCGGAUUUAUGGGGUUUAAAGGGUGCGCAGGCGGAAUGUCAAGUCAGCGGUAAAAUUUCGGGGCUCAACCCCGUCGUGCCGUUGAAACUGGCGUGCUUGAGUGAGCGAGAAGGAGGCGGAAUGCGUGGUGUAGCGGUGAAAUGCAUAGAUAUGACGAAGAACUCCGAUUGUGAAGGCAGCAUACUGGAGCGGAACUGACGCUGAUGCACGAAAGCGUGGGUAUCGAACAGGAUUAGAUACCCCUGUAGUC
rnacentral:rRNA from 1 species